rnacentral:rRNA from 1 species
UAUUGGACAAUGGGCGCAAGCCUGAUCCAGCCAUGCCGCGUGAGUGAUGAAGGCCCUAGGGUUGUAAAGCUCUUUUAACGGGGAAGAUAAUGACGGUACCCGUAGAAUAAGCCCCGGCUAACUUCGUGCCAGCAGCCGCGGUAAUACGAAGGGGGCUAGCGUUGCUCGGAAUCACUGGGCGUAAAGGGUGCGUAGGUGGAUAUUUAAGUCAGGGGUGAAAUCCUGGAGCUCAACUCCAGAACUGCCUUUGAUACUGAGUAUCUUGAGUUCGGGAGAGGUAAGUGGAACUGCGAGUGUAGAGGUGAAAUUCGUAGAUAUUCGCAAGAACACCAGUGGCGAAGGCGGCUUACUGGCCCGAUACUGACACUGAGCACGAA